UGGGGAAUAUUGGACAAUGGGCGAAAGCCUGAUCCAGCAAUGCCGCGUGAGUGAUGAAGGCCCUAGGGUUGUAAAGCUCUUUUACCCGGGAUGAUAAUGACAGUACCGGGAGAAUAAGCUCCGGCUAACUCCGUGCCAGCAGCCGCGGUAAUACGGAGGGAGCUAGCGUUGUUCGGAAUUACUGGGCGUAAAGCGCACGUAGGCGGUUUUUUAAGUCAGAGGUGAAAGCCCGGGGCUCAACCCCGGAAUUGCCUUUGAAACUGGAAAACUUGAAUCUUGGAGAGGUCAGUGGAAUUCCGAGUGUAGAGGUGAAAUUCGUAGAUAUUCGGAAGAACACCAGUGGCGAAGGCGACUGACUGGACAAGUAUUGACGCUGAGGUGCGAAAGCGUGGGGAGCA
rnacentral:rRNA from 1 species